rnacentral:rRNA from 1 species
UACGGGGGGGGGCAAGCGUUGUUCGGAAUUACUGGGCGUAAAGGGCUCGUAGGCGGCCAACUAAGUCGGACGUGAAAUCCCUCGGCUUAACCGGGGAACUGCGUCCGAUACUGGAUGGCUUGAGUUCGGGAGAGGGAUGCGGAAUUCCAGGUGUAGCGGUGAAAUGCGUAGAUAUCUGGAGGAACACCGAUGGCGAAGGCAGGUCUCUGGGCCACUACUGACGCUGAGAAGCGAAAAGCAUGGGGAGCGAACAGG